rnacentral:rRNA from 1 species
AUAGCUCACUAGUCGAGUCGGCCUGCGCGGAAGAUUUACCGGGGCUAAACUGAUAACCGAAGCUGUGGGAGCAUCCUUUAGGGUGCUCGGUAGAGGAGCGUUCUGUAAGCGGUUGAAGCUGUGUCGUAAGGCAUGGUGGACGUAUCAGAAGUGCGAAUGCUGACAUGAGUAACGAUAAAGGGGGUGAAAAACCCCCUCGCCGGAAGACCAAGGUUUCCUGUCCCAUGCUAAUCAGGGCAGGGUUAGUCGGCCCCUAAGGCGAGGCCGAAAGGCGUAGUCGAUGGGAACCACGUUAAUAAUCGUGGGCCUGGUGGUAGUGACGGAUCUCGUGUGUUGUAUCUCCUUAUUGGAUUGGAGGUGCAGCGAAGAGGUUCCAGGAAAUAGCUCCACCGUAUAAACCGUACCCGAAACCGACACAGGUGGUCAGGUAGAGAAUACCAAGGCGCUUGAGAGAAGUAUCCUGAAGGAACUCGGCAAAUUACCUCCGUAACUUCGGGAGAAGGAGGCCCUGCCAGAAGGCAACUUUUGGCAGGGGGCACAAGCUGGGGGGUAGCGACUGUUUAGCAAAAACACAGGACUCUGCUAAGUCGGCUUUAAGACGACGUAUAGGGUCUGACGCCUGCCCGGUGC